UACGUAGGGUGCGAGCGUUGUCCGGAAUUACUGGGCGUAAAGAGCUCGUAGGUGGUUUGUCGCGUUGUCCGUGAAAACUCACAACUCAAUUGUGGGCGUGCGGGCGAUACGGGCAGACUGGAGUACUGCAGGGGAGACUGGAAUUUUUGGUGUAGCGGUGGAAUGCGCAGAUAUCAGGAGGAACACCGGUGGCGAAGGCGGGUCGCUGGGCAGUAACUGACGCUGAGGAGCGAAAGCGUGGGGAGCGAACAGG
rnacentral:rRNA from 1 species